rfam:Brachypodium distachyon strain Bd21 chromosome 3, whole genome shotgun sequence.
CAACUACUCCCUCCGUCCCAAAAUAAGUGUCGUGAAUUUGUAUAAGAUCUUGUACAAAUCCACGACAGUUAUUUUGGGACGGAGGGAGUACUAC